UUUCUUGCGAAAUGAUAAAGGACCGACCCUAAAGAGGUUAGAUACGCUAUUGGAGAAACUAUUUUACAUACAUCAAGUUCAGAGAAGCGGGCUGUUUUUCGCAAUUACUUGCCAAUUUCCCUAGUCUUGACCAUGCUGUGUCAAUUUCUUGGAUUCGAGUAACAUUCGAGUGGGAAGUAGGAUAGUUGAGGAAUUGCUUAAUAUUUUUUGUGAAUAGUUCAAU